rnacentral:rRNA from 1 species
UACGUAGGGACCAAGCGUUGUUCGGAUUUACUGGGCGUAAAGGGCGCGUAGGCGGUGUUGUAAGUCACUUGUGAAAUCUCUGAGCUUAACUCAGAACGGCCAAGUGAUACUGCAGCACUAGAGUGCAGAAGGGGCAAUCGGAAUUCUUGGUGUAGCGGUGAAAUGCGUAGAUAUCAAGAGGAACACCUGAGGUGAAGACGGGUUGCUGGGCUGACACUGACGCUGAGGCGCGAAAGCUAGGGGAGCAAACGGG